AUCACUCUUGUGCCAUUUUGUCUGUGAUACUUCAACGCAGAACGUCAGAUAAACAAUCAAAAUGUGGAUUUUUUCAAACUUGAUACCCUUAUUGGCUUCACUAUCAUCUGUUCACUCUGACAUCACGCUGACCUCAUCUGCAUCAGAGAUUAAGAAGCCUGGAGAGUCCAUGAAGUUGUCCUGUAAAGCUUCAGGAUUCUCACUUGAUGUGUAUGCUGUAAACUGGAUUCCCCAGAGUUCUUCAUCUCUGAAGAUAUUCCCAACAGCAUGGUGUAUUUACAAACAAAGCCUGAAGACUGAAGACACUGCCAUGUAUUACUGUGCUCGACAGCCACAGUGAGAGAAGUAACCGUGAACCUAUACACAAACCAGCAGAGCAAGAGCCAGCCAGACUGUGUUUGAUUCCUGUGUGAACAGAGGGCUACGACGACUUCAGAGCAAGAGCUGGCCAUGGGGAAAACACAUCCAGGAGUUAUCUUUCUAUUGAUGCACUGAGUUCAUCAUUCAGAUCUCAAUAGGAUCAACUAGAUUAUGAGCUUGUACCCAGCAUCUGCAUUAACAGACGAAGGAUACCAAACAGAGACACCAGCUGGCUGGCAGAGGAGAGUGUAGCAUGCAUGGGGGUAGUCAGGGCUGGUGUCCGAUCCGCUAUUGAACUGACCCAGGCCGGCAUGGCAGUCAAGAAGCCGAGAGACUCUCAUGACUUGAAAUGUGCUGUCAGCGGAUUCCACAGGCUCCGAGCAGAGAGUGGGUAGAUUGCUAUGGCUCCCCUUCUCUCAAUAGCUAUGCCUCCGCCACCCAAGGAAGAUCCACCGCCUCAAAAGGACAGCUCCAAUUUCUACUUGCAAAAGACAAGCCUGAAACCUGAAGAGACCCGCCUGUAAAUUACUGUGCUCUGCACCACAGCGACAAGAACUCACGCUGAACCAACACUCAAACUAUGAAAGCAGGACUCCUUACACAACAUUACCACGUUUCAAUGUAAUUAGGCUAUCUCACCCUUUGAACACAUGGUUACAAAAAACCCCCCAAAAAACCGCCAAAAACACCAAAACACUCCCUGUUAAAUCAUUGUAUGUCUGACUGGUUGCAUGACUGGCAGCAUUUCUUCUGGGAUUUUCGUAAGCUAUUUUCUUUCCCAUCUACCUAACGGGAGGGAUUAACUACACAAAUAAUCGAUGUAUCGAUCGCUAGAGCACCGCCGGGUCCCGGUUUCUCCUUUCCUUCCACUUUCACGACAGGCAGGAAAAGGAGAGAGACAGGGAGCCAAUUUAAGAGGUUAAAUGUGAAGACACCGCUGUCUAUUACUGUACUGGAUGAAAACUCACGCUGAGCCAUUACACACAGCAACAAAGCCUGCGAUGCCCU